rnacentral:rRNA from 1 species
AGCGAACGCUGGCGGCAGGCCUAACACAUGCAAGUCGAACGAACUCUUCGGAGUUAGUGGCGGACGGGUGAGUAACACGUGGGAACGUGCCUUUUGGUUCGGAAUAACUCAGGGAAACUUGUGCUAAUACCGAAUGUGCCCUUCGGGGGAAAGAUUUAUCGCCAUUAGAGCGGCCCGCGUCUGAUUAGCUAGUUGGUGAUGUAACGGCUCACCAAGGCGACGAUCAGUAGCUGGUCUGAUAGGAUGACCAGCCACACUGGGACUGAGACACGGCCCAGACUCCUACGGGAGGCAGCAGUGGGGAAUCUUGCGCAAUGGGCGAAAGCCUGACGCAGCCAUGCCGCGUGAAUGAUGAAGGUCUUAGGAUUGUAAAAUUCUUUCACCGGGGACGAUAAUGACGGUACCCGGAGAAGAAGCCCCGGCUAACUUCGUG